AUGCCAAUGUCAAUGCCCGCGCGGCGGCGGCUGCUCGUGCUCGUGCUCCUGCACGUCCUCUUCCUCCUCCCUGCUUCUUCCUCCGCCUCUCUCCAUCGCCGCCGCGACGGCAGCCAUCACCAGUGGCACGGCGGGAGGAGGGCGCUGCACGAGCCGCUGUUCCCCCUGGAGAGCGCGCCGGCGCUGCCGCCGCCGCCCCCCGCGCCCUUCUUCCCGUUCCUGCCCGACGCCGCGCCCCCGCGGCCGCCUACGGUGGCCAACCCGGCGCCAGCUGCCGUCGGCGUCGGCGAUGUGGGCGCUGGCGGCGACCCGUCGUCCUCCUCGCUGCCGAACCCCACGGCGCCGGCCAACAUGUCCUCCCUGGCUCUGCCGGUCCCCCGCAGCGCGCCGGCGCCGCUCCGCGCGUUCCUCUCCUCACAUCGCCUCCUCACCGUCCUCCUCCUGGUCGCCGCCGUCGCCUCCGCCGUGCUGGCCGCCGCGCUCAUCUACCUUCUCGCCCGCCGCCGCCGCGGCCGGCCCGAGCCUGAACCCGAAGCGUAUGAAAAGCCGGCCUUGCCUAAGCCUUCGCCGGUCAAGCCCGCGCUCCACGACGACGACCAGCACCCCCGGGGCUCCACCGCCACCAUCUCCAGCACCAGCUCGCCGGAGCUCCGGCCCAUGCCGCCCCUGCCUCGCCAGUUCCAGCAGCAGGCAAGGAUGAGCCCGCUAUCAAGCCCCAUCCUUGAGGACAGAAUAGGGGGCACCAGGGCGCCGCCGGUGGGUGUUCCACCGCCAGCGCCGCCGCCGCCCCCUCCUCCGCCAAUGCCACCGAGCAAAGGCAACGGCAGCGCACAAGCGGCACCUGCACCUCCAACGCCGCCCCCUCUGCUGCCGCGAGCCGGCAACGGAAGCGGCUGGCUGCCGAGGCGGCUCUCGGAGCGCCCCGCGCCCACGGUGAUCAGGGCCUCGGCGGGGGCAGUCCAUCCAGAGGAGUCGCCGCAGUCGGAGGAGAAGGACGUGGACUCCGGCGCGGCUGCUCUACCAAAGCUGAAGCCGCUGCACUGGGACAAGUUCCGCGCGAGCUCCGGCCGGCCGACGGUGUGGGACCAGCUGAAGGCGAGCUCAUUCCGAGUGAACGAGGAGAUGAUCGAGACACUGUUCGUCUCAAACUCCACGAGGAGGAUGCCCAAGAACGGAUUCAAGGAGGCAAAUGGGGCACCCUGCAACCAGGAGAACAAGGUGCUCGACGCGAAGAAGUCGCAGAACAUCGCGAUCAUGCUGCGGGCGCUCGACGCCACCAAGGAAGAAGUGUGCAAGGCCCUCCUUGAUGGCCAGGCAGAUAGCCUAGGAACUGAGCUGCUGGAGAUGCUGCUGAAGAUGGCCCCUACCAGAGAGGAAGAGCUCAAGCUUAGGGAAUACAGGGAGGAUGCUCAGUCGAAGCUCGGCCCCGCCGAGAGCUUCCUCAAGGCGGUGCUCGGGAUACCGUUCGCGUUCAAGAGAGCCGAGGCGAUGCUCUACAUCGCCAACUUCGAUUCGGAGGUCGAUUACCUCAAGACCGCCUUCAAAACCCUCGAGGCUGCGUGUGAAGAGCUCAGGGGCAGCAGGCUGUUCCACAAGAUCUUGGAUGCCGUCCUGAAGACCGGUAACCGGAUGAACACAGGCACGAACCGCGGGAACGCUCACGCCUUCAAGCUUGACUCGCUCCUCAAGUUGGUCGAUAUAAAGGGCACAGAUGGCAAGACGACGCUCCUGCACUUCGUCAUCGAGGAGAUCACCAAGUCCGAGGGUGCCAACAUUGUAGCCACGAGCCAAACGAAAGACAAGGUGGGCGCCGUUGCAGAUGAUUUCCAGUGCAAGAAGGUUGGCCUCAAGAUCGUGGCUAGCCUCGGCGGUGAGCUCGGCAACGUCAAGAAGGCGGCAGGAAUGGACUCCGACUCGCUGGCCAGCUGCGUCUCUAAGCUCUCAGCCGGCGUAAGCAAGAUCAGCGACGUCCUGCAGCUGAACCAGCAGCUCGGUUCGGAUGAGCGCUGCAAGAGGUUCCGCGCCUCCAUCGGCGAGUUCCUGCAGAAGGCCGAAGCGGAGAUCACAGCGGUGCAGGCACAGGAGGGGCUCGCCCUCUCCCUUGUCAGGGAGACGACCGAGUUCUUCCACGGCAACUUUGCCAAGGAGGAAGGCCACCCGCUGAGGAUCUUCAUGGUGGUGCGCGACUUCCUCGCCGUUCUCGACCGCGUCUGCAAGGAUGUCAGCAGGCUGAAUGAACGGACGGCGACAGGGGGCUUCAGCACCUCGCGCCGGGUGGAGAGCGCGGCCGUUCCUCCACGGUUCAACCCAGCAGCACAGUCCAGCAGCUCCGAGGAGGAGAGCUCGUCGUCAUCGUCGCAGUAG
rnacentral:rRNA from 1 species